rnacentral:lncRNA from 1 species
UCAGGGUGGGGAGUCAGAGCACAUUUGGUAAAAUAUGAUGACCAUUCCGCGUGGCUGUUGAUGCUAGUAGUGUACACAGCGGUGUGAAAUCAACUGAUUCUGCCUGAUAACAUUUUGCUCAUCACUAGCAGGUCCCUCUCAGGAUGGCCUUCCAGCUCGCACACCUGUCUUCUCCAGGAAUGGCCCUCGUGACUCAGAGCGGUUGCCCUGCAGCCUCAGCCUGCCUAGCGAGAACCGAUCUGUCCAAGGCAGCUGCAGGUGGACAACUGCAGGUCACCACUCCCCUGCAGGUCAUCACUGACCUGAUGCUGACUUGCAGAAUGGAAGAAGAGCUGACAUCCUCGCAUGGACUUGUCCUUAGGACAGCCACUCGAAGGUGGGACCACGGCCAGGCCCAUCAGGCCAACCCCUA